GUUUACCUAACUUAACAAAGGGUCUGGAGUUGGAGCAGCCAACCAGAUAGCGUCGGUGAACAAAGAUAUGGGAUCCCUAAGCCCACAGAAAACUAAUGAGGGAGAGCAAAUUGAAAAGGGAAUAAUUGAAUAGUCAGCCUGCAAGUGGUGAAUGCAUGUGAAUGAGAAUUAUGAGAUGAACAAGAGCGUCCGGUUCUCACCUCUCUAUCCCUUGUGAGAGAGACAGUCCAUGAAGGAAGGUCCACACAAGAAAAGCCGACAGAAGCAGCCUAUAAAGGAGGAGAUAUCGAUGACGGGAUUGGCAUGAACAAGCACAUUGAUAAGAGAGAACAAGAGAGAACAAUGGAGAAUCAUUGGAAGGUUAAAGGGACGGCCAGAGUGUCCAAGCUUAAAGACUUGUUUGGCAAGUCUCUGAGGAUUGAGCUGGUGCCUUCAAACGCAGACAAGACCACCAUCAAAGGGGAAGCGCGAAGGACAGGGAAGACGGAGAAGGAGAUAUCGUUGUACGACGCGUCGUUUGAGGUGCCCAGAGAUUUUGGGGAGGUGGGGGCGGUUCUGGUGCGGAAUGACCACAGCAAGGAGAUGUUCCUCCACGACAUUCUUCUCGACGGCUUCCCUCAGGGCCCUCUGCGUUUCACCUGCGAUUCAUGGAUCCAGCCUUCUCUCCUCAGAGUCUUCUUCUCCAAUCAUAAGUCAUAUUUGCCAUCGGAGACACCAAGUGGCCUGAAAAGGCUGAGAGAGGAGGAGCUGGCGGAGGUGAGAGGCAAUGGCGACGGAGAAAGAAAGAGUUCCGAUAGAAUAUACGACUAUGACGUCUAUAACGACCUUGGCGACCCUGAUUCCAACGUCGACCUCACCAGACCCGUUCUUGGUGGUUCCCGGCAUCCCUACCCUAGACGCUGUCGCACUGGUCGCAAACCUUCUUCUGCAGACCCAUCUUCAGAGAAGAGGAGUUUAAGUGUGUACGUUCCUCGCGACGAAGCAUUCUCAGAGACCAAACAGACUCAAUUCACCGCAACCACAGUAUCCGCAGGGGUGAGUGCACUGAUACAAUCCUUAGAUGCGGCGGCGGUAGACCAAAACCUUGGAUUUCUGACAUUCUCAGAAAUAGAUAUGCUUUUCAAAGAUGGAUUUGAGGUGCCAACUCUUAAGAACAGUGGCAAUGGACUCCUUCAGACGUUCAUUCCCAAGCUCAUUCAAGUUGUUUCAGGUAGCCAACAAGUCUUGCGCUUCGAGGCCCCUGAUACUAUUGACAGGGAUGAAUUCUUUUGGUUUUCUGAUGAGGAAUUUGCCAGAGAGACUCUGGCAGGUGUUAACCCUUGUAGCAUAAAACUGGUUAAGGAAUGGCCACUGAUAAGUAAGUUAAACCCCACUAUUUAUGGUCCCCCUGAAUCAGCGAUCACCAGAGAUGUAAUUGAGCAACAGAUAAGUGGCUACACCACGGUUGAAAAGGCCAUUGAAGAGAAGAAGUUGUUCAUCAUAGAUUACCAUGAUUUACUGCUUCCAUAUGUGAGCAAAGUGAGGCAACUCGAGGGAAGAACAUUGUAUGGAUCAAGGACAGUGUUCUUCUUGACCGCACAAGGCACACUGAAGCCACUGGCUAUUGAGCUAACUAGACCACCAAUGGAUGGGAAGCCACAAUGGAGGCAAGUCUUCACGCCUUCCAGUGGUUCCACCAAUCUUUGGCUUUGGAGACUUGCCAAAGCUCAUGUGCUUGCCCAUGAUUCUGGUGUCCAUGAACUUGUCAGCCAUUGGCUAAGAAGUCACUGUGCUGUAGAACCAUUUGUGAUUGCAACAAACAGACAGCUCAGUGCGAUGCAUCCUAUUUACAGAUUGCUGCACCCUCAUUUGAGAUAUACAAUGGAGAUCAAUGCUCUUGCUCGUCAAGCACUCAUUAGUGCUAAUGGCAUCAUUGAGAUCUCUUUCUCAACUGGAAAAUAUUCUAUGGAGUUCAGCUCUGAAGUGUAUGACCAGCUUUGGAGGUUUGAUUUGCAGGCACUUCCCAAUGAUCUUAUUGACAGAGGAAUGGCAGAAAAAGAUCCUAAUGCACCCCAUGGCCUGAAGCUAACAAUAGAAGACUACCCUUUUGCCAACGACGGCCUUCUCAUAUGGGAUGCCCUCAAGCAGUGGUUCACGGACUAUGUCACUCACUACUAUCCUUUCGCGCCUAUGCAGUUCCUUUCGCGCCUCCAUUGGCUGUGUCGUCGUCGGCUGGCUCCGUCGCUCCGUCGUCUGGUUGCAUCUCCGUUGGCAGAGGGUAUCUUUAUCAAACUUUUCAGUAUCCUUACUGUACUGAUCUCUACCAGCAUUGACGAAAAUUUUGAUAGCUUGAUCCAAAGUCUUUGAAAAGCAACCACAAAUGAAGAAUAUUCCUCUAAUAUUAAUGGGUUGUGGAGGCGUUGGGCGUUAUCUUCUCCAACACAUUAUCAACACCCGUUCUCUUCACUCUUUUAAGGGAUUUUACUUAAGAGUUGUGGGAAUUUGUGAUAGCCAAUGUUUGGUUGUCACAAGGGAUUUGCUGCACAAGGAUUUGGAUGACAGCCUCUUAUUGAAAGCUUGUCAAGUCAAGAAAAAUGGUUCCUCUCUAUCAAUAC